UGGCUCAGAUUGAACGCUGGCGGCAGGCCUAACACAUGCAAGUCGAGCGGAAACGAGUUAUCUGAACCUUCGGGGGACGAUAACGGCGUCGAGCGGCGGACGGGUGAGUAAUGCCUAGGAAAUUGCCCUGAUGUGGGGGAUAACCAUUGGAAACGAUGGCUAAUACCGCAUGAUGCCUACGGGCCAAAGAGGGGGACCUUCGGGCCUCUCGCGUCAGGAUAUGCCUAGGUGGGAUUAGCUAGUUGGUGAGGUAAGGGCUCACCAAGGCGACGAUCCCUAGCUGGUCUGAGAGGAUGAUCAGCCACACUGGAACUGAGACACGGUCCAGACUCCUACGGGAGGCAGCAGUGGGGAAUAUUGCACAAUGGGCGCAAGCCUGAUGCAGCCAUGCCGCGUGUGUGAAGAAGGCCUUCGGGUUGUAAAGCACUUUCAGUCGUGAGGAAGGUAGUGUAGUUAAUAGCUGCAUUAUUUGACGUUAGCGACAGAAGAAGCACCGGCUAACUCCGUGCCAGCAGCCGCGGUAAUACGGAGGGUGCGAGCGUUAAUCGGAAUUACUGGGCGUAAAGCGCAUGCAGGUGGUUUGUUAAGUCAGAUGUGAAAGCCCGGGGCUCAACCUCGGAAUUGCAUUUGAAACUGGCAGACUAGAGUACUGUAGAGGGGGGUAGAAUUUCAGGUGUAGCGGUGAAAUGCGUAGAGAUCUGAAGGAAUACCGGUGGCGAAGGCGGCCCCCUGGACAGAUACUGACACUCAGAUGCGAAAGCGUGGGGAGCAAACAGGAUUAGAUACCCUGGUAGUCCACGCCGUAAACGAUGUCUACUUGGAGGUUGUGGCCUUGAGCCGUGGCUUUCGGAGCUAACGCGUUAAGUAGACCGCCUGGGGAGUACGGUCGCAAGAUUAAAACUCAAAUGAAUUGACGGGGGCCCGCACAAGCGGUGGAGCAUGUGGUUUAAUUCGAUGCAACGCGAAGAACCUUACCUACUCUUGACAUCCAGAGAACUUUCCAGAGAUGGAUUGGUGCCUUCGGGAACUCUGAGACAGGUGCUGCAUGGCUGUCGUCAGCUCGUGUUGUGAAAUGUUGGGUUAAGUCCCGCAACGAGCGCAACCCUUAUCCUUGUUUGCCAGCGAGUAAUGUCGGGAACUCCAGGGAGACUGCCGGUGAUAAACCGGAGGAAGGUGGGGACGACGUCAAGUCAUCAUGGCCCUUACGAGUAGGGCUACACACGUGCUACGAUGGCGCAUACAGAGGGCUCCCAACUUGCGAAAGUGAGCGAAUCCCAAAAAGUGCGUCG
rnacentral:rRNA from 1 species